AUGAUAAUAUUUUUUAUAAUAUAUUCAAUCAUACACUUUUCAUUUUCUCUUUUACAUUUCUCAGAUAUGUUGAUGACCAAAAAAUCCAAACGGCUCACAAGAAAAGAUGCCCACCGCAAAAUUUCAUAUGGUAAACAGAACACACUGAGAGAAGAGAGUUCACCUGUUAUGGUAAGAGACAGAAAUGAAGAUGACGAACAUCGAAGUGGAUCACUAAACCAUGUUUCUGCAUGUGUCUUAUGAAAAACUGUUUCUGCUGUUUCAGAACAACUAUUACUUAAAUAAUAAACAAACUUCAAAUAUCUAUCA
ensembl:lncRNA